UGUGAGAAUUUGUUUGCUGGAAUCUGGAACCGAGAACUCAUCAACUGUGCAGGGAGGUAGACAGGGUGGUUAGAAUGAGUCUGAGAAUUUUUGUGAGGAUAUUGCUGAAUACUGAGCUUACAGUUAUUUGAGAGGAUUACUGGCAGAGGGGAAACGAUGUGGGUCUGGGAGUGAAGAGUUUGAUGGGUUUGAUCUUGAUCCGGAACUGCCAACUGCUUUCGCUGGAGGUGAAUGGAUUCCAGGAGGGUAACAGAGGAGCACAGGGUUCGAGCAGGGUUCGUUACUUGGUCCAGGAUUAUGAGGAGCCAGGUUGCUGUCAACUGGAGUCUUGUCCGAGAAGGUGUCAGGAUCAGAAAAGGAGGCUUGGGAUCAGAUGGUGAACUGGAGGAGAAUCCUGUUCACACGAGCAAUCUGAGGAGGAGCACAAAACAAAGUAAUCGUGCUCAGGCGCCACCAAAAGGAGAACAGGGGAAGCAGCAGGCAGAAAAAGGAGACAGUCUCCCAGACCCUGACAGAAUUAUUGUUGCCUACAGAAAAAAUUGAGAAGAGCAGAGGUCCGAGGUGACCCGAACCCACGGUGGAGCUCAGAAGCGCGGUGCGGAAACCACUGGAACCCAGGCGAGCGGUGCAGAGACCGCUGGGACCUUUUGGCGAGGCCGCGGAGAUCUGCGGCGGAGCCCUGGAGAUCUGUGAUGCGGCCGCCGAGGCACAGCAGAUGGAGAAAGUGCACCCUCGCACCCCUCAGGGACUGGAACAGGAAGUGGAGACAGCUCGUCCACGAACUCCUCUGGAACGGGAACCAGAGAUGGAGGCAGUUAGUCCUCAGAGCCCUCCAGGAAAGGAUCCGGAAAGGGAACAGGAUUUGGGAGCGAAAGCAGCUUGCUCUCAAACUCCUCCGAUACAGGAACACAAGCUGGCAUGACACUUCAUUUAUUAUUGCAUUCUGUUCUUUCUCCAUUUGCAAUUUUAUUUCUCUCAGUUUACUUUUACCCUUUCCUCCUUGGCUUGUAGUUUCUUAUGUCUCAGAUCAGCUCAUCUUAAUGAGUCUCCCCCCUCAGCUUCCCUGCUACAGGUGCCACACGUUUCCUCUGAUUAGGUCUUCUGGUUCGUUUGUCGUUUUAUUUCUGCCCCAGUAUUUAAACUUAUCAUUUAUCAUUGUUCUCUGCUGCAUCAUCCCAUUAUUCUCUGUUGUACUUUCGUGUUCUGCACUGCCCAUGUUUCAUGUCCUGUAAGUUUUCCUUAUUAAUUAAUCCUUACUAUGUUAAUUUCAUGUUCCUGUCUGUGUCUUGGUCCUGCAAACAUACGCAGCAUGACACGAACAGGGCAACAACUGAAACAACUUUGGGGAUAAAACCUUUAUUUGAUGAUGUGUAAAUGCCCUGCUCUAAGACUCCUUUAAUCUACACAAGGGCAGAGCAAAGUUCUGUUUACUGCAGGUACAGUAUUUAUAUGUAAGAGUAAAGAAAAAGAAUAAUUAAAUAAAACAUUUAUUUCACUUUUCCAUAUUUUAGAAUCUUUUUCCCUGAUUAUUUCUUUGUGAAGAGCUGCACA